rnacentral:rRNA from 1 species
UACGGAGGGUGCAAGCGUUGUUCGGAAUUAUUGGGCGUAAAGCGCGUGUAGGCGGCUUUGCAAGUCGGGUGUGAAAUCCCUCAGCUCAACUGAGGAAGUGCGCCCGAAACUGCAGAGCUUGAGUACCGGAGAGGAUGGUGGAAUUCCCCAAGUAGAGGUGAAAUUCGUAGAUAUGGGGAGGAACACCGGUGGCGAAGGCGACCAUCUGGACGGAUACUGACGCUGAGACGCGAAAGCGUGGGGAGCAAACAGG